AGUGAACGCUGGCGGUAGGCCUAACACAUGCAAGUCGAACGGCAGCACAGUAAGAGCUUGCUCUUACGGGUGGCGAGUGGCGGACGGGUGAGGAAUACAUCGGAAUCUACUUUUUCGUGGGGGAUAACGUAGGGAAACUUACGCUAAUACCGCAUACGACCUACGGGUGAAAGCAGGGGAUCUUCGGACCUUGUGCGAUUGAAUGAGCCGAUGUCGGAUUAGCUAGUUGGCGGGGUAAAGGCCCACCAAGGCGACGAUCCGUAGCUGGUCUGAGAGGAUGAUCAGCCACACUGGAAGUGAGACACGGUCCAGACUCCUGCGGGAGGCAGCAGUGGGGAAUAUUGGGCAAUGGGCGCAAGCCUGAUCCAGCCAUACCGCGUGGGUGAAGAAGGCCUUCGGGUUGUAAAGCCCUUUUGUUGGGAAAGAAAAGCAGCAGGUUAAUACCGCGCUGUUCUGACGGUACCCAAAGAAUAAGCACCGGCUAACUUCGUG
rnacentral:rRNA from 1 species